UAGCGCUAAUAACCAACAACCAGUAUUUCGGUCUUGCCGCUUGUCCCCCGUUAAAACAACAAGUACAUACAAUCGAAAGGGGGACGUGUAAAAAAAAAAAAAGUUUAAAGCUUCACUGAUGAAGGCGGUCUACAGACCUCAUCGCGCCAAACUCCUGGUUGCUUUUGCGCGGGCUCCAUUUCAGUCGGCGCGUCAUGCAUGUGGUUUUCUCCCAGGUCCGAAGAAUUCAUAUUUAUUCGCCCAGCUUUGAGUUCUUUAUUUCAGUCGGCUGGCGCCGUCCAACAGGGGUAGACCGGAGGCCUGCAUACGGAGGCCAUGCCCAGGAAGGUCAAUGAAGACACCUGCUACAGAAUCGGUCCCAUAAGGCUUAAUAAAAUCCUCAAAUCAUUCUUUCUCAUGGCUUGGUUGUGGCAUCCUUUCUCAUCCUUGUAGUCUCAGCAUCCUGCAGUGGUA